AACCAGGACAGAGAGCAUCACUUGGGUUGUAGUAGGGAAAGACCAUCUAGAUGCUGGAAAGCAUUUAUAGUUUUGCCCUGCUCAAAGCUCAAAUAGAAACUCCAGACUGCUAACUGCAAUCAGCACUUUCCACUUUCCCAAAUGCACUGUACAAAAAAAAAAAAAAAAAAGUUACUACUUUCUAUUUGACCUGUGAGCAGAGCAAAAUUAGAAAAAGCUGUUCUCUAGAUCCUGGAGCUCAGGAUCACUCUAGGCCUCAUAUGACCCUACAGCAAACCAGAAGAUCAAAUCAGUGCCAUGUUAUAAUCCCUUCUUUGCAUAUGAGCACACGUCAAGGCAUAAUGGUGGAGCCUACAUCACCGACUAAAGCUCUGAUUGAAAGUUUCCUUCUGCUACAGAAAGAAAAAACUAAUCCUGCCCCCUAAAUGUUGAGGGAUCUCCCUCUGAAGACUUCCUCUCUCUUUUGUGUUUGGUCAAUGUAGGCAGGCAGGAGAAAAGACUGAAGGAUCUCCCCAAUGCUAUUAACUAAGAGACUUGACUUACAAUUGUAAGAUCUUAAGAGAAAUCAAUUGGAAGAAGAAAAUUCUUAAAAUGUCAUGGGUUCUAUGAAGCCGGUAUGGAAUCAUUCCUGAAAUACCAGUGUCCUUUGUUUCUUACAGUCUGGUUCAUCAUUUAUAAGACUUUUCAGAGAAGCACAAUUUUUUAAAAGAAAAGGAAAAAAAAAAACCAUGGAAACAACUCAAAUAUUUAUCUAAAAUAAGAAGGAAUGGGUUUUUGUAGUACGAACAAGCAAACGAUCCAGAACAAGCAUCAGAACCACAAGGGUUUCACUUUGAUGGAUAUCCAUAGUGUUUCCCCAUGACAUAAUUCUACUGAGGAAAAACACAUCUUGGAAAUACAGCUUGUGCUUUCACCUUCAAAUAUGACUAGUGUGAUUUUUAAAAUAAACUAAAAAUGAGAA